UUAUUUUAUUUUGGUUAAUAUUUUUAUUAUUAUUUUAUUUUACAUGUAAAUUUUUGUGAGAAUUUAUUUAAUUUUUAAAAAAUUAUUUAAUUUAUUUAUUCGCAGUAAUUAAUAUUAUUAUAAAAAAGAAAUUUUGUAUUAGUAAUAAUAUAUAGUAUUGGUAAAAUUUGUGCCAGCUACCGCGGUUAUACAAAUAAUACAAAUAAAAAUUUUUAGUAUUAGUUAAAUUAAUUAAUUUUUAAUAUAAAUAUAAAUUUAUUAGGUGAAAUUUUUAAAUUUAUUUAUUAUUAAUUUUAAAAUAAUUUAAGCUAUAAACUUUUUAUAAUAAACUAGGAUUAGAUACCCUAUUAUUAAAAAUAAAUAUAAAUAUAUUAAAGUAGUAUUAGUUAUAUUCUUAAAAUUUAAAAAAUUUGGCGGUAUUUUAGUCUAUUCAGAGGAAUCUGUCCUAUAAUUGAUAGUCCACAUUGAACCUUACUUAAAUUUGUUUAAUUUGUAUAUCGCCGUCAUCAGAAUAUAUUAUAAGAUAAAAUUUUCUAAAUAUUAUAUAAAAUAAUAUGUCAGGUCAAGGUGCAGUUUAUAUUUAAGUAGAGAUGGAUUACAAUAAAUUUAUUUAAUAUGAAUAAUUUUUUGAAAGAAAAAUUUGAAAGUGGAUUUGAAAGUAAUAUAAAAUAGAUUAUUUAUAUGAUUUUAGCUCUAAAAUAUGCACAUAUCGCCCAUCGUUCUUAUUUUUAAAAUAAGAUAAGUUGUAACAUAGUAGAUGUACUGGAAAGUGUAUCUAGAAAGA
rnacentral:ncRNA from 1 species